GCUAAUUGCGGGCCGAGAGCGUGGGUGAUAGGGAGGGGGCAGUGGUGGUCCGGAGUUAUUGAGCGUAAAGGGCUUGUAGGCGGGUGGUCGCGUCUGGUGUGAAAGCCCAUCGCUUAACGGUGGGUCUGCGCCGGGUACGGGCGGGCUAGAGUGCAGUAGGGGAGACUGGAAUUCCCGGUGUAACGGUGGAAUGUGUAGAUAUCGGGAAGAACACCAAUGGCGAAGGCAGGUCUCUGGGCUGUUACUGACGCUGAGAAGCGAAAGCGUGGGGAGCGAACAGGAUUAGAUACCCCUGUAGUC
rnacentral:rRNA from 1 species